UACGGGGGGGGCAAGCGUUGUUCGGAAUUACUGGGCGUAAAGGGCUUGUAGGUGGCCAACUAAGUCAGACGUGAAAUCCCUCGGCUUAACCGGGGAACUGCGUCUGAUACUGGAUGGCUAGAGUGUGGGAGAGGGAUGCGGAAUUCCAGGUGUAGCGGUGAAAUGCGCAGAUAUCAGGAGGAACACCAGUGGCGAAGGCGGCUCACUGGCCCGGUACUGACGCUGAGGUGCGAAAGCGUGGGGAGCAAACAGG
rnacentral:rRNA from 1 species